ACAGCUGGCGGCGUGCUUAACACAUGCAAGUCGAACGGAGCACCCUUGACUGAGGUUUCGGCCAAAUGAUAGGAAUGCUUAGUGGCGGACUGGUGAGUAACGCGUGAGGAACCUGCCUUCCAGAGGGGGACAACAGUUGGAAACGACUGCUAAUACCGCAUGAUAUAUUUGAGGGGCAUCCCUUGGAUAUCAAAGAUUAUAUCGCUGGAAGAUGGCCUCGCGUCUGAUUAGCUAGAUGGUGGGGUAACGGCCCACCAUGGCGACGAUCAGUAGCCGGACUGAGAGGUUGACCGGCCACAUUGGGACUGAGAUACGGCCCAGACUCCUACGGGAGGCAGCAGUGGGGAAUAUUGGGCAAUGGACGCAAGUCUGACCCAGCAACGCCGCGUGAAGGAAGAAGGCUUUCGGGUUGUAAACUUCUUUUGUCAGGGAACAGUAGAAGAGGGUACCUGACGAAUAAGCCACGGCUAACUACGUGCCAGCAGCCGCGGUAAUACGUAGGUGGCAAGCGUUGUCCGGAUUUACUGGGUGUAAAGGGCGUGCAGCCGGGCCGGCAAGUCAGAUGUGAAAUCUGGAGGCUUAACCUCCAAACUGCAUUUGAAACUGUUGGUCUUGAGUACCGGGAGAGGUUAUCGGAAUUCCUUGUGUAGCGGUGAAAUGCGUAGAUAUAAGGAAGAACACCAGUGGGCG
rnacentral:rRNA from 1 species